ACUCAGUUAAGCCACAACGAGUUGUUUUUACGACAACACCCUGACUAUAUCUGACCCCGCUGACACUGGCCAGGUUUGCUGAGAAGGGGUAGCAGCAGAGAAGCCCAGGCGUUCAGACACUCAGACCCGCAGCUGGUGUAAACAGAUGGUACACGAGACCGCUCAAUAGCUGCUGAGAUUUAUUCGUUACCUGGAAGCAUUGGCUGAGUCUGAAAGUAGAGCUGGAUUUAAGUCCCGAAGGAUAUAACUCGGAUUUAUGCAGAAGGUUUAUGGCACUUUGUCCCCCUCUAGUGGCAGCGAGAGGUUGCAGCGCUUGCUACUGGCUGGGCGAGGAGACGUGCAUUUUUUUGCUCAUGCAUUCAACUCCAGAGGUUCCAGGUUCGAUGCCAACAAUGGCCAAGUCUGCCAGCGUUACACUUGCAUGUCCCAAUGCACUCUUAAGUUGGGUGUAUGCUCUUGAGGACAGCGCUUAUCGGUGGGGUGGAACCGAGUUUCAAAAUCCCUGUGUCAGGAUGGAAAGUCUAUUAUUUGAUGGACUCCAAUACCGGACCUCAACCUGUCAUCCAAGAGGUGGACAAGAUAUCAUAUGGCACCAAUCAACUUCACUGGCUUCUGGUUAAAAGAUAUGCCUGGAAUGCAUUGUCAUUAUGUUACAUCGAAGCAUGAUUUCACCGAGGGAAAUGGAGGAACAAAAACCAACAAAAAGCCAAAGCUGUAGCAUGAUCAUCAUAUAAUGCAAAAAGGACUGUGCGUAGAUUGCUUUUGGCCGGCCUGAGGUUAUACUAUUUCAAUUAAACCCAGCUGGCGUCAGCUAUAUUUAGAGACAUUUGGUUUUGGAGGGGUUUUUUUUUUUAAAUUGAUGUGACUGAAAAGAGUUUCAGAAGAGCAAAGACGGACAAGUUCUGAUUGCUAUCUUCUAAUGCGAGAGCGUUUCAGAUGAAAUGCAAUGGCGAAGCAUAAUUAAAUUGCCCCUAAAUGGAAGGAAGGCUGUCGCACGGGGCCUUGAGAUGGGGAAUGGAAUGUAGUAUCUCUGAGGCAUGCUGUGGUUUCGAUUUGCAACCGUAACAUGAUUACCUGUCCCAUUCUGCUUCCCGGUCUGGGUUAAAACAGAUGUAGUUCUUCUCCAGUUCUUAGUGAACACGAGUUUAUUGACUGGCCUGCCAUCUGUGCAAACGGGUUGAAAAAUGGGGAAAAUUAAAACGUUGCCAACAUGGUCAAAGUUGUUCACACUUCACAGGGUUUCAACUGGACUGGCUCCUUUCUUUUGGUGAUUUUUAAAUCAAUGUUUUCUCUAAUUGCUGUCAAAUCUUGUUUGCAAUUUUUCACUUUGGGUAAAUGAGGGGGUCAGA